rnacentral:rRNA from 1 species
UACGUAGGUGGCAAGCGUUGUCCGGAUUUACUGGGCGUAAAGAGCGCGCAGGCGGCUGGUCAAGUCCGAUGUGAAAUCUCCCGGCUUAACUGGGAAACUGCAUCGGAAACUGUUCGGCUUGAAGGUGGGAGAGGGUAGUGGAAUUCCCGGUGUAGUGGUGAAAUGCGUAGAUAUCGGGAGGAACACCAGUGGCGAAGGCGACUACCUGGCCCAUUCUUGACGCUGAGGCGCGAAAGCUAGGGGAGCGAACGGG